GGUAAAAUGGCAGAAGCCAGAGUUGCAGUGGAUGUAAACGAGUUCAGUUGUGCAAUCUGCCUGGAUCUACUAAAGGAUCCAGUGGCUAUCAACUGUGGACACAGUUACUGUAUGAGCUGCAUAAAGAGCUGCUGGGAUCAGGAGGAUCAUGCUGGAGUUUACAGCUGCCCCCAGUGCAGAGAGACCUUCACGCACAGACCUGCUCUGAAAAGAAACACGAUACUGGCUGAAGUGGUGGAGAAACUGAAGAAGACUGGACUACAAGCAGCUACUCCUGCUGACCAGUAUGCUGGACCUGGAGAUGUGGAGUGUGACGUCUGUACUGGGAGAAAACACAAAGCUGUCAAGUCCUGCCUGAUGUGUCUGGCCUCCUACUGUGAAACUGACCUGCAGCUUCACAAUAAACUCCAUCAAGCAAAACAGCACAAGCUCAUUGAUGCCACCGGCCAUCUGAAGGACAAGGUCUGUUCCCACCAUGACAAACCCCUGGAGGUCUACUGCCGUACCGACCAGCAGUGUAUCUGUUAUCUCUGUACGAUGGAUGAACACAGAGGCCAUGAUACAGUCUCAGCUGCUACAGGAAGGGCGGAGAUACAGAAACAAAUGGAUGAAACGCAGAGGGAAUUUCAGCAGAGAAUUCAGAUGAGAGAGAAGGAGCUGCAGGAGCUGAGAGAGGCUGUGGCCUCAUUCACAAGCUUAGCACAGUCAGCAGUGGAGGAGAGCGAGAGGAUCUUCACUGAGAUGAUCCGCUCCAUUGAGAGAAGACGCUCUGAGGUGACAAAGCUGAUCAGAGAUCAGGAGAAGGCUGCAGUGAGUCAGGCUGAAGGAGACAUGGAGAGACUGAAGCAGGAGAUUGAUGAACUGAAGAGGAGACACUCUGAGCUGGAGCAGCUUUCACACACAGAGGAUCACAUCCAUUUCCUCCAGAGGCGCCAGGCUCUUCCUGUCACUCCUGAGGCUGGAUUUGGACCCAGAAUCACUGUCAGUCCAAGAUCUGAUUUUGGGAAUUUGAGGAAGGCGGUUUCUGAACUGAAAGAUCAACUGGAGAAUGUUUGCAGAAUGAAAAUGGCAGAGAUCCAUCACCCAGUUACCAAAGACACCAUCCUACCAGUAUUAGUGCCCAGGACCAGAGCAGAAUUCUUACACUUCUGUGCUUUAGGGCCAUGACUUCACACGGCACGACUACACCUGCGCGCGUAGUUUACAUCUAUCUGGAGGAUUGAAGGUCAUGUCCACCAGGGGGCAGUGCGAGAAAACCAGCUUGGUCGGUUCCUUCGUUUCCAGUCUCACUUGUGGGAGUCAAGAUGGCGCUCUGAAGAACACGCUUUGAUUAGAGCUGCAAACCGACUUGUUUUGUUUACCGUGUAGUGUGAACUAUAUGCAGUUUUACUGCUGUCUGGUUUUAUUUAAUCAUCCAGUGACAGCAAUAACUAUACAUAGUCAUGAUGACAGGCUCUGAAAAAAGAAAAAACUGAUGGAAGAGAUUAAACAAGAGAUAAAACAACAGCACCUUUUCAAAUCAGCCGCAAACUGAUUUUUGGCUUAUUUCUAAUGAAUUAGGAAAUAUUUAAACAAACAUUAUACCUUCACCAUUUUCUGACCACCGAGUCAUUGACAUCCAUAUAUCCAUAUUGUCAUCGUCUAUCCAUCCAUCCAUCCAUUUUCCAAACCGCUUAUCCUUACUGGGUCGCGGGGGGUCUGGAGCCUAUCCCAGAAGCAAUGGGCACGAGGCUGGGAACAACCCAGAAUGGGGGGCCAGCCCAUCGCAGGGCACACUCACACACCAUUCACUCACACAUGCACUCCUAUGGGCAAUUAGCCUCAGCAUGUCUUUGGACUGUGGGGGCAAACCGGAGUACCCGGAGGAAACCCCACGACGACAUGGGGAGAACAUGCAAUCUUUGUCAUCGUCUACUGGAUAUAAAAUAUCUUCAAACGGGAUAUUAAACAGUUCAAUCUUGAGAAAUAAAUUAGCUAUUUUAAAUAUAGAAUAAUUAACUGACUUACACUGGAACAGACCCAAUACAGACGUAUUGCAAUAAUAACAUCAUGUAGCAAAAUUUGUCAGAAGGUUUGUCAGAAGGUUUAGUAGUGACUUGGUUCGAAUCAGAAGAGAUGAAGAAAAGAAAAUUAUAAAUGAGAUUUACUGCUUUAACCUGCAAACCAGUCAAUCGUCUUCCUGAUACAGAAAAUAAUGUAGGAGGAGACUUACAGAAUAAAUUGGAUGAUUAUAUAUAAACAUAAGGCAGAAGGAGCCUUUGUUAGAUUGUGGCAAAAAUGGCUUGAAGAAGGUGAGCAGAACUCAGCCUAUUUCUUUAGGCUAGAAAGACAGCAAGCCAGGAACAACAGCAUUAUGCGAGCGAGGAUUUAUGGAAAUGUCGCAGAUGACAUCAAGAAAGUAGCCAACUUCUCAACUGAGUUCUUCAAUAAUUUGUAUGUCAGGAGUCUUGAUCGAAGAUUUUCGAUUUCUUCUCAAACAUCACAGGAAUAACUGAUGUGGAUCGUGAACUUUGUGACGUCCCAGUUGGUUUAACUGAGAUGUCUGCUGCAAUAAAUUGCUUAAAAAAAUAAUAAAUCGCUGGGAACAGAGAGUCUAAUCCAGUGUCUUUUUUCAUCAUUGCUGGAGAUUUCAAUCAGGCAAAUAUGAAGCCAAUUUUCCCCAAAUUCUUCCAAUAUAUGAACAUUCCAGCUAAAGGGAGAAUCUGUCUGGACAAUGUUUACACAAACAUUUGUGAGGCUUACAAGGCCCUUCCCCCCCCACCUCGGCUACUCAGACCAUGUCACUGUGUUCAUGGUUCCUGUGUAUAAAUCCCUGCUGAAGCACAACAAACCAGUCAGUCAGAGUGUGGCCAGCUGGUGCCGUCUCAGCUCUCCAAGGCUGCUUUGGAUCUACUGACUGGGACAUUUUUAAGGAGGCUGCUAUAAAUGGUGACGCCAUCAAC